rnacentral:rRNA from 1 species
GACAGAGGGGGCAAGCGUUGCUCGGAAUCACUGGGCGUAAAGGGCGCGUAGGCGGGAUGGCAAGUCAGUCGUGAAAUCUCUCGGCUCAACCGAGAAACGUCGGCUGAUACUGCCGUUCUUGAGGGAUGCAGAGGAGACUGGAAUUCCCGGUGUAGCGGUGAAAUGUGUAGAGAUCGGGAGGAACACCGGUGGCGAAGGCGGGUCUCUGGGUUGACACUGACGCUCAAGCACGAAAGCGUGGGGAGCAAACAGG